ACUCCUACGGGAGGCAGCAGUAAGGAAUAUUGGGCAAUGGACGAAAGUCUGACCCAGCCAUGCCGCGUGAAGGAUGAAGGUCCUCUGGAUUGUAAACUUCUUUUAUCUGGGGCGAAAAUCACCCUUUCUAGGGUGCUUGACAGUGCCAGAAGAAUAAGCACCGGCUAACUCCGUGCCAGCAGCCGCGGUAAUAC
rnacentral:rRNA from 1 species